CAGUCGUACCUGCGGACAAUCAGCUUUUUGAGUGUGAUUAUGUGGAUUGUGAGGAGUUUAAUCACCCUCAUGUUUUACGUAUUCGUGCUCUUGGGUGUACUUGCCCGUGUGGUUGGUUAACAUCAAUUUCGGGCACCAUAAAAUGGCUGGAGGAAUGUAGCUUCGAUCUUGUAUUGAAGUUGUUAUAGCCUUCGGUAAUGGUGGUGAUCGAG
rnacentral:rRNA from 1 species